rnacentral:lncRNA from 1 species
CUCCGGAGCCACUCGGUGAAGAUGCGCCCUUCCGUGCGGUGCGCGCCGCCCGCGGAGGGCCAGGCUCCAGGGUAAACGGGCUGGCAGACUACAAAAGGAUGCGGACGAAUGUACCCGCGAGCUUUCUCUCUGAGUCUUCCCGGAGCUCUGGGGCUAGCGGGAUCUUGAAAAGCGUCCCAGUGAACCACGGCUGUUUUCCUUGGGAGGAAGAGGACGCGACAGGGCAAAGGGAACACAGUCUAUUCUCUGUGCGCUAAGGCUGAACUUUGAGGAAGGGUUUUACUACCCGGGAACAAAGUCAAGAAUGGAAGAAGAAAGAAAGGGUAUGGAGAACCAGACAAGAGGUCCGUAAAGCUUGUACUAUCUGACUUCAAUUAAUUAGAGUGAGGAGAAUGAGAAAAUAGACACAAUAUGCUUAUAAUAUUUAUGCAAUGUUGACUUU